GACGAACCGUGCGAACGUUGUUCGGAAUCACUGGGCUUAAAGGGCGCGUAGGCGGGUCAGCAAGUCCGGGGUGAAAUCUUUCGGCUUAACCGGAAAAGGGCCUUGGAUACUGCUGGUCUUGAGGGAGGUAGGGGUCUGUGGAACUUCUGGUGGAGCGGUGAAAUGCGUUGAUAUCAGAAGGAACGCCGGUGGCGAAAGCGACGGACUGGAUCUCUUCUGACGCUGAGGCGCGAAAGCUAGGGGAGCAAACGGG
rnacentral:rRNA from 1 species